rnacentral:hammerhead_ribozyme from 1 species
AUCCGGCUGACGAGUCCCAAAUGGGACAAAACGGUCGUCACGGAU